GAAAACUUUGACGUUGUUUUUUCAAAUUUUUUGCAUUGCUCUUCUCUUAAUUCCAGGUAAUAGAGUUAUAUAUGUUUUAUUUAGCAUAAUUUUUAGUUAUAAUAAGGUUUUUUUCUUUCAUCUAACCCAAUAUGUCGUGGAUCUCAAUAAUAUUUUUUAGUAUAAUAUAUAAGUAGGUGAAAAUUUUACAGAAUCAAUUUUAUAAUUUUAAAUUAGAAUUAGAAUUUAUUUUCUGAUAAAAUAAAACGAGAUACAAUAAGUUAAAUGGUUAGAUAUGAGUUGAUAAAAAUAAAAAAUAUUUUUAAAUAUAAUUUGUAAUUAGGUUUUGCAUAAAUUUAAGGGAAAAGCGAACCAACAUCUCGUAGAACAGCUUGUGCAGUAGAAGAAGGAGGAUGUCCAGACCGUAAAGGUUGUCAAAACUUUUGUAAAUUCUUUGGUCAUUCGAAAGGUGGUUCUUGCAUGCCUCCUGGAAGUAAAAAGUGUUGUUGCAUAAUCGAUGAU
rnacentral:lncRNA from 1 species